GUGAAUUCAAAGCCUUAAAUAUGAAAGUCAAGGUCGAUGAUGACAAGAACUUUAAGCUUAGCGAAACACUGAAAACUCUUCGGGACAGAUGCUCAGCUUUGCGACGCAAUGUUCCUCUCGGUUGAAGGGCAUUUUCAAUUCUGUUGGAGCUACAUCCGAGGAAGUUAGUCAUUCUACUGAAGAUAUUUGUAACACUCCAGGUUCCACAAACAACCCGGUAUGCUACUGUACUACACUUCCGACGUCCAUAUAUAAAAUUUCGGCAGCAUCCCCUUUGCAAGAUUGCAUAAAAGAGGGAGCAACAAGGUAUAAACAUAUAUCAUGACUAAAACAUACUAAGUAUUAUUACUCGGCUAACAAGGAAAGAUAAACAUACGACCUGAACUGAAUUAACCAGUGCGCAUGACCAUAUAAAAAAAUAAACAAACUUCCUUUGACAAUAAGUUUCUAAUUAAAUCAUGGCUGCGCCUGGGCAGCGUUAUUGUGAGAGUGAAAGUGGACGUGCUGCUACUCCCCUCAUUCCCAACAUGUAUCAAGUACCUGCAUUGAGUAAUGCAAGAGUGAGAUGACACAUCUCAGCAAGUAAAAUAAUAUCAAACAGUUUAACCACAUAAGAACAUUGUUUUACCACCACUUAAUUCCACAACCUUCUUAUUACGAAGGUGCAGCACGUAUACAACGUACAACGCACCUAGUUACCACACCUCGUAGGUAGAAACCACAAUAGUAACAUAGUAAUGUCACACUUCAUAUAUUCCUCAUGAGUGCAAAUGUCUGCAAAUGCAAGGAUGACUUCUGCCUUCAUACCUCUAAGGAUAUGAAGCCGCAUCGUACCCCUCCUCGGGCAACGUACGAUGCUAAAAAUGUACCGGUACGGUCGGACCAUAAGAUCACGACAUAACUUCAAAAUGCAAGAUGGAUGAUGCGAUGUGCAUGUCAUGCCUACAACACUUCAUAUAACAUGAUUCAAAAAGACACUUCAACUUCAUCCAGAUGGGAAUCAACCACAUAUAUCAUUACCAAAUUAUGAUCAUCCACAAUAUUAGACAAUUGAGAAUUAAUACUUCCAAACAAAUAAACUUCAUCAUAGAAUUCAAUGAUUAACAUAAUUAAAACUUAUGCAUACUCAAUAACAGGGAAUAGGAUGCAAACCAAACGGUAGCAACCACCACUAUAUUUACUUGCCUUUACCGGAAGUUCGGGCAAAUCCCUAAGUACGAUCCGGAAGUCCACCACCUGUUUUUGACACCCAACUUAGUACACCAAUUUCACAUAAUCAGGCUCAUAAGCGACGCCGCACCUACGCACAAACUCAAACCCCGCCGCGGGUUACAUCUCUCCCUACACUCACCAAACUGCAGCGGCGCUGCUUAAUAAUUUCAUAACUUUAAAAUUAUGACAGCAGUGGUAACAAACAAAAACUCCAGAGGCAUCUACAUAAAAUUCCCCACAAGUUUUGUAUACACUUUAUAAUUAAAUUCCAAUAUCUAAUUAGCCCAAAACAGUCCACAAGAUGAACCCUGUAAUCUGUUUUUCUUUGUCUUUUGGACAGCGACAUACCCAGAUUCAAACAGCGAUAUCUUUUAAAAUAUAAUUCCAAAUCAAGCGCAUAAGUACUCAUUGGAAAGAUAAGACAAAUCCCUACAUGAUUACGAUACUGGUUAACACUAAUUACCCACGAAAAAUUCCCAGAAACUGCUAAUACCACUGCUGUUCACCCACCUGAAAAAUCUGUUUUUUUGGACAGCAACAUAACCGGAUUCAAACAACGAUAUCUCCUGAAUUAUAACUCCGAAUCGAGCGCAUAAGUACUUGUUGGAAAGAUAACAUAAAGCCCUACAUGAUUCUCAUACUGAUUAACACUAAUUACUCCCGAAAAAUCCCCAGAAACUGCUAAUACCACUGCUGUUCACCCACCUGAAAAAUCUGUUUUUUUGGACAGCAACAUAACCGGAUUCAAACAACGAUAUCUCCUGAAUUAUAACUCCGAAUCGAGCGCAUAAGUACUUGUUGGAAAGAUAACAUAAAGCCCUACAUGAUUCUCAUACUGAUUAACACUAAUUACUCCCGAAAAAUCCCCAGAAACUGCUAAUACUGCUGCUGUUCAUCCCCCUGAAAAAUCUGUUUUUUUGGACAGCCACAUACCCGGAUUCAAACGGUGAUAACUUUCAAUUUAUAACUCCAAAUUGAGCGCAUAAAUACUCGUUGAAAAGGUAAGGUAAAGUUCUACAUGAUCCCCAAAAUGAUUUCCCUUAAUUCCUCACGAAAAAACACAGAAACUGCUAGACUACUGCUGUUCACCCACCACCUAAAAUUCUGGACAGCCCCCCUCUACCCCAAUCGCAAACGCAACCUCUAAUCAAUUAAAUUGCAGCGCAAAUGAACAAGGGAUGAACACAAAAAUCACCUUGGAUUCUCCCCCUUUCCUUCCUCCCUUCUUCCCUCCACCAAAACGAUUGAAGACUCGCACCACGACGACGAUGAUCCGAGCGGCAAGGAUUGGCACCUUGGGAGGAGGGGAUUGAGAGGGGGCGGCUAGGGUUUGGUGGCUGCAAGAAUUGAGAGAGGAGGAGAUGGGCAGGGGGGCGGCGGCCAAGGGGGAAGAGAAGUGGGGGGGCGGCUGCACAUGGGGGGAGGGGGUUAGGAGGGAGGCGGCUAGGGUUUGGGAGGGUUAAUGGGCCGAAACUCCAAUUGCGGCCCAACUAACCCACGAGACAGCUCCCGACCGCAACGCAAGCGUCAAACCAAAUAAAUUCUACUGCCCUAGUUGUGAAUGUUUUCCAAAAAAUCCCAAAUCCUCAAAACAACAACCGGAUGAGGAAAAAAACAAAAAGAACAACCCCCAACUUCUCUUCUUUGCAAACCGGGUAUCACACUCUACCCCUCUUAAAAAGAAUUCGACCUCGAAUUCUGACGCUUCUAUCGGAACAACAAAAGAAAGGUUAAUGAAUCAACAAAACUCACACAUAAAGAAAAGUUCGAGUACUUCUGCCGUAUCAGCUCCUCAAGCUCCUAGGAUUCUAAGAUACGCAGCUGACGACACUCUAGAGUCUGCUCUUGCUACACAGGAAUCGGCUCUAGCUCGAUUUGAUGGUCUGGAUUCCGCAAAUACUUCCUCAACAAAAAGACAAGGAAUACUUGGUGUACUCUGAUCACAGAUUCUGACAAUUACAUGUGCUAAGCCCAGCUGCCAACUCGGCCAAGAUAGCAGACGGUCCUAUAUACCUCGGACCAAGCUUUCCUGACACCAAAUCAAUCAUUGACAUAUGCAAGUACUUCAAGGAAUGUAUAUAUGAAUGCAAGGCAUAUAAUGUUCCUAUAGGCUAAACCAAACUUAGCCACACAAGAGCAACUUCAAGAGAGCAACUUAAUGCUUGCAUAUUUCUAGAUAGCAGCACAACGGUUAAUUGUUUUGCUCCUAACUCACAAAAAUAUGCAUCGAAAAUUAGUAAACUAGGACUUUAUGGAAAACUUAUAAAGUCCACUAUACCCUUGGUAUUAUCAUCACAACAAGAUUUGACACUUAGAAAGGUCAAACAGUGCUAAACGUAAAUUCUGUCCAGACUUGGACAUAAUUCAACUACUCAAUUCAAAAAUCCAUAAUUGGAGUCUCAAUCAUCCAAUUCAGGUGCUCCCAGACUUUUUAGAAAGCUAGUAGAAUUGUCUAUAAUUCAUUUAUAAACAUAUCAAGUUAAUUCAAUGCAUAUUAAGGUCAAAAGACACGAGAAAGGCUCUGCUGUCCAAAUUUGGACAGAUUCAGAGAUCACACUUAAAACAGCUGUAACUUAACUUAUAGAUCUCCAAAAAAAUUAAUCCAAAAUUUGUUGUAACGAUUAAGAAAAGUACUACAACUUAUUUAUAAUUUAUAAUAAGUUAUUCGAAGUUUAAAUUGGGCAAUCAAGGUCAGCUUCGAAAUCUGUAUAGAAUCUGCACAGAUUUCAAGACUGGACUGGAGAAAAUCAUAACUCCCAAACUAUUAGACCUAUGGUCAUGAAAUUUUUACACAAGUAAGAUAAAUAAGUUGGCUACAACUUUUAUAUAUAACAUCUCUACAGAAAAGAUGGUUUACUUCACUGAACUAGCUGCAUAACUAAAACUGGUCAUGCAGUCCCAAUAGCAAGCAAUAGAUUUUAUCAGGUUCAUUACUCUUCUAAGAUUAAGCGUUCAUUGAAAGACUAAUAACUUUAGGUUCUUCAUUACGAGACACCUAGAACAAAUAUAAGUAUAGAAGCAAUAUGAUAACUUUUUAAACCAUUUAAGUCUAAUCUCACAUCAUGCAAACAAGAAUCAAUUUAAGCAUGUUAUGUCUGCCCACAUAUUCAUCCAAGCACAUUCUAUACAUGAUAUCAUAACUCCCUGCAGCUAACAAAAUUUUGCAAAUAUAAACUCACUGAAAAGAUUAUAACAUUCCCUAGAACUUUUAUUAUAAUGAGUGUCUCGGAAUUGGUUUCCAAACCGAUAAAACAAUGCAACUCUUUUGUUUCAAAACUGAUAAGAUUGAAACAAUGGACAACUAAAAUUCAAAAACCUAUAACUCCUGCUAUACUCAACUUAAACUACAACGAACACGUGUUGGAAAAGUUUUGAAAAUUGUCCACGACUUUUGCAAUAAAGUUGCACCCAAAUUUAUCCUUAUAGCCCACAACUCUGCAUGACCUACAUCUAAACUCAGCCUGAGAUACUGCACAUUAGAGAUUCGACUUAUAUCCGGGCAACCACCUCUCCAAAUCUAUUUAACAGACAGCUACAAGUAAAUACCCAUUAAAAAGGUACUGAAAAUACCUACAAGUUUUGCUUAAAGAGAAUUCGCAAAUUUGUGCUCUGCAACUAUCAAAACGCGGUCGAUUUAUUGGUGAUUAUAACGACGCCUAAAGUUUAGACACAACAGUGCAACAACUUCAGAGCAACCUAACUCCAAUUAUAUGCAAUGAGAAUUAGAAACCCAUACUCUUUGAAAAGAUCAUGAAAUUACUAAAACUUUCAUAAUCCACAAAGACCAAAUUAUAUCGUCUUCAAUGUCUACUCUUCCGUACAAAAUUAAAGACUCACUCUGUAGAGACACCAACAAAGAUGUAUUAAGAAACCCAUAUCUCUCAAAUGUUUAGACCAAACAUGGUGAUUAAGCAUCCUAUGGAAAGAUGCAGAAACAUACUACAAAACAUUCUAGAUAAGUGAAGCCUGGUUCAGCCUCCAACUAAUUUAAAAUGCCUCCCGAAACCAAACAACACAUUAUCAACAAUAAAAAACAAUAUAAAAUGAAACCCAAGUCAUUGGCAAGUGCCAUCAACACUAGGAUUUUCCACUACCAAACUGGGAUGCAACUCCACAAAGUCUUUAAAUAACACUCUACCAAAUAGGUUAGAACACUAAGCACAACAAUCAAUGAAUUCAACAACCUCGUUUGUUAAUGCCACUAAGGUCAAACAUCCAUGUACCGACAAUGUAUGAAACACCAGACAUACCCGUCUCCAGCUCUAUAAAACAUGGUUGUUAUUACACUAGAAUCCAACUACUAGAAAUCUCCAAAACUAUUCUGUUGACGUGAAGCAAAUGGUGCUCAUGUCAUAUAACAUCUUUUCCCCCUCUCAAAAGAGAUAAAAUUUGCAAUACUCAUAAAGCAAUGGAGGGAUAACAACAAGAAAAAACUAAUGUACUUCUUGACACAGACUCAUGCAAAAGCUUCAUAAAUAUUACUUUCAACACUAAAAUAAUAACACGAUACUAUGCUCAACAGGAGUAAUUGGACUUCAAUAAGAUAAUCCACCUAACCCAACUACUUUGAUUAACCUCACAUACAACAAUACCUCCUAUUAUUGCACUUGAACAAUUUGUACCUAGUGAUGUCAUAGGAUGAAUUCAAAGUAGUAGACAUACAUGAUCUAUCAAACCAUCAUUCAUAUAAUAAAAAUCUCCAUCUAAUGCAACAACCACAUCAUUAUAGAGAUAGAUGACUAACAAACAUAAGCAACUUCCAGUUAAACAUUGACUUUGUUUAAGAUAAAGCGGUCCAAAUAAUAAUUCCACAAGCAUGCAUAGAGAACUGAUCAUAUAAAAAAACUACCAUGUAUCAUCGGCGAUUAAAACAAUAUAAAACGGGUUGUCCAUAUCGUCCGCAUGACUAGCCUCCAACAAAUAGAAAUUAUGCAUAACCUUUUUGGCUAUAGAAACAAACCAUAGAAGGAAAACAUGCAUGCCUCUUCAACUAUAAUAUAGACAUAAAAUCCACUUGAAAUCACCCUAUUUAUUAUUAAAGAUAAGGUUGCACACAAUAAGAAAACCUAUCAUGUAAACAUGGUUGGACUUAUCUACCCACGUCAUCUUGCAAAUUCACUUGAGUUCUUCUAGUCUCAAGAUUUCAUAGACAGUACAACAUUGCCUUUGCUCUAUGGAGACAAACCUAUUGUACUCUAAGAUCAAGUUGGCAAGUAGCCACACGAGCCAAAAAAAAGGUGAGGUGUAAAGCACUGCACCCAUGGAAAUAUUACAUUGAUAAGUUGGGUUGUAACCCAACAGUCAAUCCAACUCAACAACACCAUAAAACUUCAUUGUAUAGUGUUUUCACACUACACCAAGUCGAAUUAGAUCCUCUAUACACAAGCUCAAUAAACAAUCGGUCCUACAAGUACUAGAACCCAAGAAUCCUUUUGGGAAAAAACAUCCACAGUCAAGCAUAUAGAAAUAUAUGAUGGUAAUAGCUCAGAGAUUAGUAAACAUUGCAUCCCAAAAAACAUCAUGACGAUAUGUAUAUAAAACAAGUACAUUAGUAGCUUCACUCGCAUAAUAAUUUCAAUAACAACCACAUCAAGAAACCAAUAUUAAAUAGAAGUAACAUUUCAUAUCAAGCAUUACGUCGUUAACGACAUACCUCAUCAAACCAUAAAGGGGUUUGGAGUAAGGAAAUUCUAGUCAUCUAUACAAUAAAAUACUAAUAUGAAAGAUAUAUGAACCCAUACCCUUCCUAUAUGUGCAAGUGUGUCAAAUUUAUCUUCAAAUUGCGUAGAAUCUAAAGCCUAUCCUCUGAUACCAACUGUAACACUCCAGGUUCCACAAACAACCCGGUAUGCUACUGUACUACACUUUCGACGUCCAUAUAUAAAAUUUCGGCAGCAUCCCCUUUGCAAGAUUGCAUAAAAGAGGGAGCAACAGAGUAUAAACAUAUAUCAUGACUAAAACAUACUAAGUAUUAUUACUCGGCUAACGAGGAAAUAUAAACAUACGACCUGAACUAAAUUAACCAGUGCGCAUGACCAUAUAAAAAAAUAAACAAACUUCCUUUGACAAUAAGUUUCUAAUUAAAUCAUGGCUGCGCCUGGGCAGCGUUAUUGUGAGAGUGAAAGUGGACGUGCUGCUACUCCCCUCAUUCCCAACAUGUAUCAAGUACCUGCAUUGAGUAAUGCAAGAGUGAGAUGACACAUCUCAGCAAGUAAAAUAAUAUCAAACAGUUUAACCACAUAAGAACAUUGUUUUACCACCACUUAAUUCCACAACCUUCUUAUUACGAAGGUGCAGCACGUAUACAACGUACAACGCACCUAGUUACCACACCUCGCAGGUAGAAACCAUAAUAGUAACAUAGUAAUGUCACACUUCAUAUAUUCCUCAUGAGUGCAAAUGUCUGCAAAUGCAAGGAUGACUUCUGCCUUCAUACCUCUAAGGAUAUGAAGCCGCAUCGUACCCCUCCUCGGGCAACGUACGAUGCUAAAAAUGUACCGGUACGGUCGGACCAUAAGAUCACGACAUAACUUCAAAAUGCAAGAUGGAUGAUGCGGUGUGCAUGUCAUGCCUACAACACUUCAUAUAACAUGAUUCAAAAAGACACUUCAACUUCAUCCAGAUGGGAAUCAACCACAUAUAUCAUUACCAAAUUAUGAUCAUCCACAAUAUUAGACAAUUGAGAAUUAAUACUUCCAAACAAAUAAACUUCAUCAUAGAAUUCAAUGAUUAACAUAAUUAAAACUUAUGCAUACUCAAUGACAGGGAAUAGGAUGCAAACAAAACGGUAGCAACCACCACUGUAUUUACUUGCCUUUACCGGAAGUUCGGGCAAAUCCCUAAGUACGAUCCAGAAGUCCACCACCUGUUUUUGACACCCAACUUAGUACACCAAUUUCACAUAAUCAGGCUCAUAAGCGAUGCCGCACCUACGCACAAACUCAAACCCCGCCGCGGGUUACAUCUCUCCCUACACCCACCAAACUGCAGCGGCGCUGCUUAAUAAUUUCAUAACUUUAAAAUUAUGACAGCAGUGGUAACAAACAAAAACUCCAGAGGCAUCUACAUAAAAUUCCCCACAAGUUUUGUAUACACUUUAUAAUUAAAUUCCAAUAUCUAAUUAGCCCAAAACAGUCCACAAGAUGAACCCUGUAAUCUGUUUUUCUUUGUCUUUUGGACAGCGACAUACCCAGAUUCAAACAGCGAUAUCUUUUAAAAUAUAAUUCCAAAUCAAGCGCAUAAGUACUCAUUGGAAAGAUAAGACAAAUCCCUACAUGAUUACCAUACUUGUUAACACUAAUUACCCACGAAAAAUUCCCAGAAACUGCUAAUACCACUGCUGUUCACCCACCUGAAAAAUCUGUUUUUUGGACAGCAACAUAACCGGAUUCAAACAACGAUAUCUCCUGAAUUAUAACUCCGAAUCGAGCGCAUAAGUACUUGUUGGAAAGAUAACAUAAAGCCCUACAUGAUUCUCAUACUGAUUAACACUAAUUACUCCCGAAAAAUCCCCAGAAACUGCUAAUACCACUGCUGUUCACCCACCUGAAAAAUCUGUUUUUUGGACAGCAACAUAACCGGAUUCAAACAACGAUAUCUCCUGAAUUAUAACUCCGAAUCGAGCGCAUAAGUACUUGUUGGAAAGAUAACAUAAAGCCCUACAUGAUUCUCAUACUGAUUAACACUAAUUACUCCCGAAAAAUCCCCAGAAACUGCUAAUACUGCUGCUGUUCAUCCCCCUGAAAAAUCUGUUUUUUUGGACAGCCACAUACCCGGAUUCAAACGGUGAUAACUUUGAAUUUAUAACUCCAAAUUGAGCGCAUAAAUACUCGUUGGAAAGGUAAGGUAAAGUUCUACAUGAUCCCUAAAAUGAUUUCCCUUAAUUCCUCACGAAAAAACACAGAAACUGCUAGACUACUGCUGUUCACCCACCACCUAAAAUUCUGGACAGCCCCCCUCUACCCCAAUCGCAAACGCAACCUCUAAUCAAUUAAAUUGCAGCGCAAAUGAACAAGGGAUGAACACAAAAAUCACCUUGGAUUCUCCCCCUUUCCUUCCUCCCUUCUUCCCUCCACCAAAACGAUUGAAGACUCGCACCACGACGACGAUGAUCCGAGCGGCAAGGAUUGGCACCUUGGGAGGAGGGGAUUGAGAGGGGGCGGCUAGGGUUUGGUGGCUGCAAGAAUUGAGAGAGGAGGAGAUGGGCAGGGGGGCGGCGGCCAAGGGGGAAGAGAAGUGGGGGGGCGGCUGCACAUGGGGGGAGGGGGUUAGGAGGGAGGCGGCUAGGGUUUGGGAGGGUUAAUGGGCCGAAACUCCAAUUGCGGCC
rnacentral:lncRNA from 1 species